UGGGGAAUAUUGGACAAUGGGCGAAAGCCUGAUCCAGCCAUGCCGCGUGUGUGAAGAAGGUCUUCGGAUUGUAAAGCACUUUAAGUUGGGAGGAAGGGCAGUAAGCGAAUACCUUGCUGUUUUGACGUUACCGACAGAAUAAGCACCGGCUAACUCUGUGCCAGCAGCCGCGGUAAUACAGAGGGUGCAAGCGUUAAUCGGAAUUACUGGGCGUAAAGCGCGCGUAGGUGGUUCGUUAAGUUGAAUGUGAAAGCCCCGGGCUCAACCUGGGAACUGCAUCCAAAACUGGCGAGCUAGAGUAGGGCAGAGGGUGGUGGAAUUUCCUGUGUAGCGGUGCAAUGCGUAGAUAUAGGAAGGAACACCAGUGGCGAAGGCGACCACCUGGGCUCAUACUGACACUGAGGUGCGAAAGCGUGGGGAGCAAACAGG
rnacentral:rRNA from 1 species